rnacentral:tRNA from 1 species
GCUUGUGGCUCAGUGGUAGAGCACUUGCCUUGCAUGUGUGAGGCACUGGGUUAGAUUCUCAGUACUGCA